rnacentral:rRNA from 1 species
AUGGUGGGUUCUGCUGCUCUCUAGCUCAAAGUAGACGAUGAGCAAAUCAAACAGCUUCCCACGGGCACGGCCGUCCACUCAGACGUCUUCUCCGCCGGGGGGCACAGUUGGAGGAUUGACUGCUACCCGCAUGGGUCCGAUAAGGACGACAUGGGCGAGUUUUUCUCUAUCUUCGUCAGGCACAUGAGCAAAACCAGAAGAGUCAAAGCCAUCAUGGAUGCCUUUCUGAUGGAUAGGAAUGGCGAACCAUCUGAAACGGUCACACAAAGGUCUUGUGUUCAUGACUUCCCAAUCAACAACGACGGUUAUGACUGGGGGUGGAGCAAGUUCGUUGAUAGAACCACUUUGGAGGAAUAUUACAUGACAGAAGGACAUGUCACAUUUGGGUGCGCUGUCAUGGUCUUAGAUGAUGGCUCUAUUCCCGUGCCACCUUUAGAUAUCCGGAUCCAUCUCGGCUCCGUGCUAGAUAGCAACAACGGGACUGAUUGAUAAUUCAUCAUCGAAGGCGAGGUAUUCCCCGUGCACCGAGUGGUCCUCGCCGCCUGUUCACUGGUGCACGACAUCACGCCAAAGACAUUCAAAGUUAUGCUUCGAUUUUUAUACACCGAUGAAUUGCCUGCAGAAAUCGAGCUCGGUGACUCUCCAACUGAGAUGUUUCGGAAUCUUCUUAUUGCAGCUGAUCGCUAUGCACUUGACCGCUUGAAGAUUAUUUGUGCCAAGAAAUUAUGGGAUAAUGUAUCGGCAGAUACAGUUACAACUACUUUAGCUUGCGCCGAAACGUAUAAUUGUCCGCAAUUGAAGAGCAAUUGCAUUGACUUUUUGUUACUGGAGGAAAAUUUCAAGGAGGCAGUGCUCACUGAAGGUUUUGCAUUGUUGGUUUUGAAAUUCCCAUUGAUCAUUGCUGAGCUCAAAAAUAGGGUUAGGACAUACCAUAGUACUCCCUCUAUCCCAUAA